rnacentral:rRNA from 1 species
AUUGAACGCUGGCGGCAGGCCUAACACAUGCAAGUCGAGCGGCAGAAGGGAGCUUGCUCCUGCAUUCAGCGGCGGACGGGUGAGUAAUGCCUAGGAAUCUGCCUGUUAGCGGUGGAUAACGUCCGGAAACGGGCGCUAAUACCGCAUACGUCCUGAGGGCGUAAGUGGGGGAUCUUCGGACCUCACGCUCUCAGAUGAGCCUAGGUCGGUGUAGCUAGUUGGUGGGGUAACGGCCUACCAAGGCGACUAUACGUAACUGGUCUGAGAGGAUGAUCAGUCACACUGGAACUGAGACACGGCCCAGACUCCUACGGGAGGCAGCAGUGGGGAAUAUUGGACAAUGGGCGAAAGCCAGAUCCAGCCAUGCCGCGUGUGUGAAGAAGGCCUUCGGAUUGUAAAGCACUUUAGGUGGGGAGGAAGAGCAGUAAGUUAAUACCUUGCUGUUUUGACGUUACCAACAGAAUAAGCACCGGCUAACUUCGUG